AGAGAAAAGUGUGGGAAAUUCAAGGAAACAAGUGACAAAAGGUGGUGAGUAAAGUAUACUGGUAAAAGUAUAGAGAUUGUGCUUGAAGACUGGGAUUAGGAGUACAUCGACUCCUAGAACUUGGUGGGGGUUUCCGUGGAUUGCCUAUGAAAG